GCCUCAGUAGCUCAGUGGAUAGAGCGCUUCACUACGGAUGAAGAGGUCGGGGGUUCGAAUCCCUCCUGGGGUAC
rnacentral:tRNA from 1 species